rnacentral:misc_RNA from 1 species
GAAAUGCGAUAAGUAAUGUGAAUUGCAGAAUUCCGUGAAUCAUCGAAUCUUUGAACGCAUAUUGCGCCCGGUGGUAUUCCACCGGGCAUGUCUGUCCGAGCGUCAUCGCUGUUCUUCCCACCUUCUUUUUUAUUUUUAAGGGGUGUUAGGGGUCUUGGGUUGUCGUCCCCGGAAAUCCGAUUCCGGAGGAUGGAUCCUAAAGGCAAUGGCGGUGCCGUUUUCCGGUCCUGAAGCGUCUUGGGCUUUGUCACACCCGCUUUCAUUGGACCCAAAGCGGCCACCGGUCUCGAAGAAAAGGGGGGAAGUUAGCGUGGGUAAUUGGCCUCCAUCCAUGCUCUCUCGUCUCCUUCUUCACUCUCUCCAUCCGGCUGACCUCGGAUCAGACAGGGAUACCCGCUGAACUUAA